AGCAGGCCGCAGAGAAUAGGCUCAAGCAACUGUUUAGCAAAAACACAGGUCUAUGCGAAACCGAAAGGUGAGGUAUAUGGGCUGACGCCUGCCCGGUGCUGGAAGGUUAAGAGGAGUGCUUAGCGUAAGCGAAGGUAUGAAUUGAAGCCCCAGUAAACGGCGGCCGUAACUAUAACGGUCCUAAGGUAGCGAAAUUCCUUGUCGGGUAAGUUCCGACCCGCACGAAAGGCGUAAUGAUUUGGGCACUGUCUCAACGAGAGACUCGGUGAAAUCAUAGUACCUGUGAAGAUGCAGGUUACCCGCGACAGGACGGAAAGACCCCAUGGAGCUUUACUGCAGUUUGAUAUUGAGUGUCUGUACCACAUGUACAGGAUAGGUAGGAGUCUAUGAGAUCGGGACGCCAGUUUCGAAGGAGACGUUGUUGGGAUACUACCCUUGUGUU
rnacentral:rRNA from 13 species